GCCGGCGUAGCUCAGCUAGGACUGCUUGGGGAAAACCCCAACAGGGGAAGUAGAGCAGCGGGCUGUUAACCCGUUGGUCGGCGGUUCGAGUCCGUCCGCCGGCGCCA
rnacentral:tRNA from 1 species